UACCACGGUUUAAGAUAGUAUACUAUCUUAAAUCGUGGUUAGUACGAAGUCUGUGCAUCACGGUCGUUAGCCACAAGUCCCACACUCCCACAUCCGUGGUCUGAAUGUCUAAUGGAUUUUUUGUUGAGUGGGUGACUCGGUAUUUUACCUAUUUUAUUGUUCGGAAGUUAGGUUAGGGUCAUAACUUUUUUAUUUAGAUUUCAAAUAGAUACGUUGCGCCGCGUCUUUUUUUGUUCUGUUUAGUGUUUCUGUAGCUUUUUUUUCCAUGUAUACACGAGGGCCAUACUGUUUGCACAUUGCUUGACUCCCAUGCAGCAUAGUGUUUCUGUAGCUGACAGCUAAUAACUAUACAAAAGUGACGGCUGUAAUAUGGCUGCACUCGCCUAUACUGGAUCUACUACGGCUAUAGUCGUAAACUCGUAAGUUUUUUAAUUGCAAAUUAGUUUAUGUGUGAUUCGCAGUUCAUGUCUGAUGGUUGUUCCUUUAUUCUGUAUUCCUGCAGCUAGUCAUCCAAUUGAUUUCAUACACUCUACAAAUAGUUGCACAGCUCAAAUAUAAACUAAAAUAAAAAUAAUUGAUUAUGAUUUAAAACCAGCCCACAAAUUGCAACAACGUCAAGGAUCAACUACACUCACUCUACAUGAUGUGAUUUAAAUGAACACAUUUGUUAUUAGUUAUGAAUGUAUCAUAUGCAUGGUCUUGUUCCUGUGGAAAUUCUAAUGUAAUUUUUGCUAAAUUUUAAAAACUCAUUAGUUUUCAUAAAAUGUAUACAGGAUUGGACCAUGCAUAUAAAAUAUUUAUAAUAAAUAAGCAUCAACUUCAAGUCAACAAAAUAGUAUUCA